UUGUUUAGUUUGGUAAUAUAAGUUUGGCAACAGAGCCUGAUAAUGAGUAGCGUACACUCCAUCACCACACACCCCUUAACCACCUUAUCUGCUGUUUCCCUCCAGCUCAAAGCACUCAUCAACAACGUAACUACAACUACUUCUAUAACUAACUUUACUCCAUCGUGAUCACUGGUCAGAUGCAAAAGGGUAUCAAUGAAAAUGUACCCUUACCAAACCAUAUGCCAAAUUACCAAAGCUUGGUAAAGAAACCAAAAUCAAAAUGAAACAUACCUACAAUGACGAAUUCGAUGGGCAACUUGGGCGGUGGAGUCUUGAAUGAGAACUCGGGUCCGGAGCCUCCACAGCGGUAGAAGUAAGUGGUGCUGGGCUCAAGUGGCCCUAUCACGGCGUUGUGGAUCCUGCCGGAGUUAUAGAAAAAAUACUGAUAUAAAUAUUUUUACAACGAACAAACCUGCUGAGGUUCGGACUCAGAUAAUUGAUGAGAAGUGAUGAUGAUUGAACGAGCAGGAAGACGAACGAAACCACCAAUAUCAUGAGAUAGAAGGAGUUGAGGGAACAAAAGAAAGCAUAGGGUGUGUAUGAGAAGUGGAAAAAUAGCAAUAGACUUUAAACAUUUUGACAUGAUGCUAAUAUUGUUGUUAUUAUAACAUGGAUUAUUUAUUAAUAAUGAUAGUUUCUUUAAUUUGUAGCUGCUGCAAAUAAAGGAUAGCUUUCUGAACGUAGUGAUGGAGGAAGAACAGCCAUUCUUGUUAUAUAAUGGGAUUGCGGAAACAGAGAACGAGAGAGAAUACAUUUAAUUAAAAUAACAAUUUGUAUAUGGGUUGACUAUAUAGAAGGGAGGUUGUGUUUCAAUGGCUUAAGGCAAGAUCCGGGUAAAGAUUAACUGUAUUAUGUUAUUAAUUGGUAGUACCACAUGACGAUGGAAUCAUGGAAUCAAUCUUAUUCCUUUGACACGGGAAGCAUACGUUGAGCA